GACGAACGCUGGCGGCGUGCUUAACACAUGCAAGUCGAACGGAAAGGCCCUGCUUUUGUUGGGUGCUCGAGUGGCGAACGGGUGAGUAACACGUGAGUAACCUGCCCUUGACUUUGGGAUAACUUCAGGAAACUGGGGCUAAUACCGGAUAUGAGCUCCUGCUGCAUGGUGGGGGUUGGAAAGUUUCGGCGGUUGGGGAUGGACUCGCGGCUUAUCAGCUUGUUGGUGGGGUAGUGGCUUACCAAGGCUUUGACGGGUAGCCGGCCUGAGAGGGUGACCGGUGACAUUGGGACUGAGAUACGGCGCAGACUCCUACGGGAGGAAGCAGUGGGGAAUAUUGCACAAUGGGCGGAAGCCUGAUGCAGAAACGCCGCGUGCGGGAUGACGGCCUUCGGGUUGUAAACCGCUUUCGCCUGUGACGAAGCGUGAGUGACGGUAAUGGGUAAAGAAGCACCGGCUAACUACGUG
rnacentral:rRNA from 1 species